rnacentral:rRNA from 3 species
UCCGUAGGUGAACCUGCGGAGGAUCAUUA